GACGAACGCUGGCGGCGUGCUUAACACAUGCAAGUCGAACGGAAAGGCCCUGCUUUUGUGGGGUGCUCGAGUGGCGAACGGGUGAGUAACACGUGAGUAACCUGCCCUUGACUUUGGGAUAACUUCAGGAAACUGGGGCUAAUACAGGAUAGGAGCUCCUGCUGCAUGGAGGGGGUUGGAAAGUUUCGGCGGUUGGGGAUGGACUCGCGGCUGAUGAGCUUGUUGGUGGGGGAGUGGCUGGCCAAGGCAUUGACGGGUAGCCGGCCUGAGAGGGGGACCGGCGACAUUGGGACUGCGAUACGGCCCAGACUCCAACGGGAGGCAGCAGUGGCGAAUAUUGCACAACGGGCGGAAGCGUGAUGCAGCGACGCCGCGUGCGGGAUGACGGCCUUCGGGUUGUAAACCGCUGUCGCCUGUGACGAAGCGUGAGUGACGGUAAUGGGUAAAGAAGCACCGGCUAACUACGUG
rnacentral:rRNA from 1 species